AACGGCCAUACCUUGCUGAAUAUGGCGGUUCUUAUUCAAUCACCGAAGUCAAACAUCAUCGGGUGCGGUCAGUAUUUGGAGAGGUGACCACCUGGGAACACUGCGUGACGU